rnacentral:rRNA from 1 species
GUCCUACGGGGGGCAGCAGUGAGGAAUAUUGGUCAAUGGCCGGAAGGCUGAACCAGCCAAGCCGCGUGAAGGACGAAGGUGCCAAGCAUUGUAAACUUCUUUUGUCAAGGGACAAAAUCAGGCUCGAGAGCCUGACCGAGGGUACUUGAAGAAAAAGCAUCGGCUAACUCCGUGCCAGCAGCCGCGGUAAUACGGAGGAUGCGAGCGUUAUCCGGAUUUAUUGGGUUUAAAGGGUGCGCAGGCGGAAUGUCAAGUCAGCGGUAAAAUUUCGGGGCUCACCCCCGUGGUGCCGUUGAAACUGGCGU